CUUGCUUGUAAGUGCACGUGCUGGAUCAGCCGCCUGUCUUCUUGUCUUCAGGACCCCACUUUAUUGGAGAUUGAGAUUAAAAUCUUCAUUUACAUCUAGUAAUUCAGUACUUAUUCUACUUGUUCUUGCUGGUUCUUUGAUUGCUUGCAAGAUGAGUGACCUAGUGGCUGGGUGUCGCGCUCCACAAGAUUGUGACAACCAUUAGGGGUGGUGUAUCGGUUGCUAAGGUGCGGUAUUGGAAGGAUGUAGUCAGGCCAUGAACGUCAUCUCCAUUCGUCAAUCGAGUUAUCACACGCCUCUGAUCGGAAGAUUAGGCAAAAACUCUAACAGGUUCACAUCAGUUGGUAAUCAGAGCAAGGUUUAUCGGUGAGCGUAUCCAAUCCUUUGUUGUUUUAUUUUUCCUAUAGUCUAAAAAAGCCAAUAAAAACAGUAGAUUUAUUUCCGGCAAUCCUAUAAAACCUUUGAGUCAUUGCUAGUAUUGCUUAUUUAGGGCUUGUUGAUAACGGUUGCUUCGGCCGUGUCAAGUGCUGAUUUUACUUCUAGUCUUUUAGAGUUUCGAGUUCUUAUCCCCAUCAAGUCAUAGCUGUGCAUCACCAUAUACCAUCUAUAUUUUAUCUAUGGUGAAGUUGUAUCAGCUGUGAUUCAUACUUGUACUCGACAUAUUGAAUUUUAAGGUUCUGAUUUACUCUAGAGAGAGUAUACCUCUACUCUUUCCAGAAAAAGUUUGUGUGGAAAAUUGCUCAUUUACACUCUUUUGCUUAUAUAAUGAAUUUUGAGGUCCCCUCGAAAAAAGAAAAAGAAAAAAAAAAGAAAAAUAGGUUGUUCAUAUUGUUUUCGGUAGGGUUGCUCAAUUUUGUUUCCGGUGGAGUGUUGUUGUUUUCUUUGUGUCUAGGCUUGCGUCUCUAGCAUGGUCUAUGCUAGUACCACUAUUGAACGUUAAUUCAACUUGCUCUUACAACUAAUGUGGUGCUAGUUUGUUCCUUGUUUUAGCCCACCUAUAGUUCCAUACAUUCUACAGCUUUAUAGGUCUUGUUGUUGUGGCACCGAUACACUUUAUUUUAUUGUUGUGGACUUGUUGGUUAGUUGAUUCAUCCUGUUGAGUAAGUUAAGAAUUGAUAAGAACUUGUCGAACGGGUUAAGAGUAAGUGCCUUGUUAUAGCCACAUAGGACUUUUAUUCCUUCACUUGUUUUCUUGUUUCCACAGUAUUUAUUAAAAGGAACAA
rnacentral:lncRNA from 1 species